CCCUUAGAUGUUCUGGGCCGCACGCGUGCUACACUGGUGUUAGCAGCGAGUAAGUUUUUGGCCUUUGCCGAAAGGCAUGGGCAAACUUGUCAAAUGACGCCGUGCUGGGAAUUGAUCAUUGUAAUUUUUGAUCAUAAACGAGGAAUCCCUUGUAAAUGCAAGUCAUCAACUUGCAUUGAAUACGUCCCUGCCCUUUGUACACACCGCCCGUCGCUUCUACCGAUGAAUGGUCCGGUGAACACUUUGGACUCGUGGUCGGAACGGAAUUUCCGUAAACGACCAACGGGGAAGUUGUGUAAACCUUAUCAUUUAGAGGAAGAAGAAGUCGUAACA
rnacentral:rRNA from 1 species